CUCAGCCACCCACCUGAACUAUGAAGAUAAGCAUGGCGGGUUGCCUUACAGCAUUAUUUUAAGGAUUACUGAGGUGCCCCAUGCCCCAUACUGUUUUCGGAAAGAUUCUUCCCGAAACGGAAACAGAACCCAGGGUUCCAAAUUAUGAAUCUGAAUGCCUGUUGUACUAGAGUCCUGAAACACCUUUUCACCACAAACCACACUCUGUCCAGGUAGAGAUGCUUUAAAAUGGCAAAUGACAAUGGAGUGGGAAUCCUAUUUGUCCAAUUGCAAUCAUGAUGAUGAUGUCUUCGUGUGAGCAGUCCUGGGAUGCCCAGUAAUGCUCCUUUGCUUCUGCUAUUACCAUUUGAACACCACAGAAGAAGGAUUGCUCCUAUAUGAUGUCACCACUUCUCAGCUCCUGGUGUCUGUCCCACAGUCUCCUGAAACAUCAAUAACAACAUAUACAGAUGGCUCAAGUUGUGCAUCACCAGAAUGCAGGGGAAGAAAACAACACCUCCGCACACUCAUCCACAAGAAGUUUCAACAGCUAAAAUGGCUGUUCCUUUUCAAUAGCAGGUUAUUAUUAUUAUUUCUUUGCCGAGAAACUGUGGUUUAGAGGUUGGCAAAUGAAUGUUUUUCAUCCAUAAAACACACAUCAUCAAUUGAUCUGCUGUUAUGGAAUACAUAACAGCGAAAAUCAUCCAAGCUUCUUUCCAGUGGUGUUUUAUUCCAUUUCUUCUCUAAGUGCUGAACUAGACAAACAGACAUCAAUUAAGCUGCAAUGGCCUCAUUACGGUGGCAUUCUCCCAAAGUAUCCUUUUAUCCCUCCAGCAAUCUUUCGAAUUGAAACUCACAUCCUCUUGUAAUGGUUGCAUUCUUGCACCCACAUUUUUGGUUGCCAUAGCAACAGCAUUCUUGAGGGAGGAUGAGGAGCUACUAUUUUAUUUUAUUUUAUUAUUGUACAAUAAAAGAGAUUUUCAAAACUGCAGUUCUUUCUCAAAAGAAAUAAAGAAUCA
rnacentral:lncRNA from 11 species